rnacentral:rRNA from 1 species
AGCAGCCGCGGUAAUUCCAGCUCCAAUAGCGUAUAUUAAAGUUGUUGCAGUUAAAAAGCUCGUAGUUGAACUUCAGGCCUGGCUGGACGGUCCGCCUUCCGGGUGAGUACUGUCUGUGGUCGGGUCCUACCUUCUGGCGAAGCGUCAUGGCCUUAACCGGCCGUGGCGGGGAACCAGGACUUUUACUGUAAAAAAAUUAGAGUGUUCAAAGCAGGCAAUUCGCUUGGAUACAUUAGCAUGGAAUAAUGGAAUAGGACAAUUGUUCUAUUUGUUGGUUUCUAGGACUGUUGUAAUGAUUAAUAGGGAUAGUUGGGGCAUUAGUAUUCAAUUGUCAGAGGUGAAAUUCUUGGAUUUAUUGAAGACUAACUACUGCGAAAGCAUUUGCCAAGGAUGUUUUCAUUAAUCAAGAACGAAAGUUAGGGGAUCGAAGACGAUCAGAUACCGUCGUAGUCUUAACCAUAAACUAUGCCGACUAGGAAUCGGGCGAUGUUGACAAAAUGACGCGCUCGGCACCUCAGU